GGAGACUGGAAUUCCUGGUGUAGCGGUGGAAUGCGCAGAUAUCAGGAGGAACACCAAUGGCGAAGGCAGGUCUCUGGGCCAAUACUGACACUGAGGAGCGAAGGUCUGGGGAGCAAACAGGAUUAGAUACCCUGGUAGUCCAGACCGUAAACGGUGGGCACUAGUUGUGGGAACCUUCCACGGUUUCUGCGACGCAGCUAACGCAUUAAGUGCCCCGCCUGGGGAGUACGAUCGCAAGAUUAAAACUCAAAGGAAUUGACGGGGCCCCGCACAAGCAGCGGAGCAUGCGGCUUAAUUCGACGCAACGCGAAGAACCUUACCAAGGCUUGACAUAUAGGGAAAAGUGGCAGAGAUGUCAUGUCCGCAAGGGCUCUAUACAGGUGGUGCAUGGUUGUCGUCAGCUCGUGUCGUGAGAUGUUGGGUUAAGUCCCGCAACGAGCGCAACCCUCGUUCUGUGUUGCCAGCAUUUAGUUGGGGACUCACAGGAGACUGCCGGGGUUAACUCGGAGGAAGGUGGGGAUGACGUCAAAUCAUCAUGCCCCUUAUGUCUUGGGCUGCACGCAUGCUACAAUGGCCGGUACAGAGGGCUGCAAUACCGCAAGGUGGAGCGAAUCCCAAAAAGCCGGUCUCAGUUCGGAUUGAGGUCUGCAACUCGACCUCAUGAAGUUGGAGUUGCUAGUAAUCGUAGAUCAGCAACGCUACGGUGAAUACGUUCCCGGGGCUUGUACACACCGCCCGUCACGUCACGAAAGUCGGUAACACCCAAAGUCAGUGGCCCAACCGCAAGGGGGGAGCUGCCUAAGGUGGGAUCGGUGAUUGGGACGAAGUCGUAACAAGGUA
rnacentral:rRNA from 1 species